AUGUUAAUAGCAAUUUCAUUUGACGUUAGGUGCAGAAGAAGCACCGGCUAAUUCCGUGCCAGCAGCCGCGGUAAUACGGAGGGUGCGAGCGUUAAUCGGAAUUAUUGGGCGUAAAGCGCAUGCAGGUGGUUUGUUAAGUCAGAUGUGAAAGCCCGGGGCUCAACCUCGGAAUUGCAUUUGAAACUGACAAACUAGAGUACUGUAGAGGGGGGUAGAAUUUCAGGUGUAGCGGUGAAAUGCGUAGAGAUCUGAAGGAAUACCGGUGGCGAAGGCGGCCCCCUGGACAGAUACUGACACUCAGAUGCGAAAGCGUGGGGAGCAAACAGGAUUAGAUACCCUGGUAGUCCACGCCGUAAACGAUGUCUACUUGGAGGUUGUGGCCUUGAGCCGUGGCUUUCGGAGCUAACGCGUUAAGUAGACCGCCUGGGGAGUACGGUCGCAAGAUUAAAACUCAAAUGAAUUGACGGGGGCCCGCACAAGCGGUGGAGCAUGUGGUUUAAUUCGAUGCAACGCGAAGAACCUUACCUACUCUUGACAUCUACAGAAGCCAGCGGAGACGCAGGUGUGCCUUCGGGAACUGUAAGACAGGUGCUGCAUGGCUGUCGUCAGCUCGUGUUGUGAAAUGUUGGGUUAAGUCCCGCAACGAGCGCAAUCCUUAUCCUUGUUUGCCAGCACUUCGGGUGGGAACUCCAGGGAGACUGCCGGUGAUAAACCGGAGGAAGGUGGGGACGACGUCAAGUCAUCAUGGCCCUUACGAGUAGGGCUACACACGUGCUACAAUGGCGCAUACAGAGGGCGGCCAACUUGCGAAAGUGAGCGAAUCCCAAAAAGUGCGUCGUAGUCCGGAUUGGAGUCUGCAACUCGACUCCAUGAAGUCGGAAUCGCUAGUAAUCGUGGAUCAGAAUGCCACGGUGAAUACGUUCCCGGGCCUUGUACACACCGCCCGUCACACCAUGGGAGUGGGCUGCAAAAGAAGUGGGUAGUUUAACCUUCGGGAGGACGCUCACCACUUUGUGGUUCAUGACUGGGGUGAAGUCGUAACAAGGUAACCG
rnacentral:rRNA from 1 species